UACGUAGGGUGCAAGCGUUAAUCGGAAUUACUGGGCGUAAAGCGUGCGCAGGCGGCUUUGCAAGACAGAUGUGAAAGUCCCCGGGCUUAACCUGGGGAACUGCAUUUGUGACUGCAUGGCUGGAGUGCGGCAGAGGGGGAUGGAAUCCGGCGUGUAGCAGUGAAAUGCGUAGAUAUGCGGAGGAACACCGAUGGCGAAGGCAAUCCCCUGGGCCUGCACUGACGCUCAUGCACGAAAGCGUGGGGAGCAAACAGG
rnacentral:rRNA from 1 species